rnacentral:rRNA from 1 species
GACGAACGCUGGCGGCGUGCCUAAUACAUGCAAGUCGAACGCAGUGGGGACGGGUGAGUAACACGUGGGUAACCUCCCAUCAGAGGGGAUAACACUUGGAAACAGGUGCUAAACCGAUACUGAUGGAUGAACCCGCGGUGCAUUAGCUAGUGGGUGAGGUAACGGCUCACCAAGGCCACGAUGCAUAGCCGGCCUGCGAGGGUGAUCGGCCCCCCUGGGACUGAGCCACGGCCCAGACUCCUACGGGAGGCAGCAGUAGGGAAUCUUGCACAAUGGGCGCAAGCCUGAUGCAGCCAUGCGGCGUGUGUGAAGAAGGCCUUCGGGUUGUAAAGCACUUUCAGCGGGGAGGCGUUACCCGCAGAAGAAGCACCGGCUAACUCCGUGCCAGCAGCCGCGGUAAUAC